GAAGAAACCAAGGAGACACAUAGGAGGUCCCAUGUAGUUCUAGCUGACAGCCCCAGUGACCUAGCCAACUGCCAGCAUCAAUUGCCAGACAUGUAAGUGCAAAAGCUUUCCAGUGAUUGCAACCCCAAGGUGUAGAAUCAUUCCAGACUUUGAGGCACCCCUGCUGACACUGUGUGGAAGAGAAGGAAUCUGUGCCUGCAGAACACUGACUACAUUUCUGAUUUGUAAUCAAAGAAAGGAUUAUUGUUGCCUUAACAUGACUUUGGAGUGGUUUUUAUAUAAAGACACCUGGAAUAAAUAUAAUACCACUAAGUGCUGUGACAGAGGUCGCCAAUAACCAACUAAUUAACAUGUAUUUAUCAUGUGCCUAUUAUUGGUCAGGUACUGAGUACAGAAAGCCCAGAAAGGGAAGUGAAAUCUGAGAAAAAGUUUAGAGAAGUUAUAGAAUCAGAGCGGAAAAGGCAGAAAAACUUGCUUGUUUGAAGAUAGGGAAACCAUGGUACAUCAGAAAUAUUAGAGGAGAGGCUAUGAAAAAAGACUGAAGAGAUGAGAUACUCAGGGGCCACUUCAGUAAGGAUAUACUUACUAAAGAAUCAGAAUUUAAUCCUGAAGGUAGGAGACUACUCUGCAUACCUGUAAUCAUGGAAUUAUUUAAUGACUGUUCUCCAAACAGGAGAUACUCCAAAUAGCAGAUACUCCAAAAGAGAUUAUCUCAUAUACAGCAUUUAUCCUUAUGUUAUUUCCAGCAUACAGAAUGGUACCUUGCACACAUAAAGUGUUAAUAAAUAUGUACUGAACGACUGAAGAAUGGAUAUGAGAAUUCCAUAGGAAUGACACAAUCAGGUUUGUGUGUUAGAAAAAAUCAUUCCAGCAGGGGUUUGGAGAAUGGUUUGGAGAUAGGUAGGUGUAUCAGUCAACUCUGGUGCUGUAAGAAAUGAUCAUAGAUUGGGAAGCUUAAACAACAAAUUUGUUUUUGGAGGCUGGAAAUCUGAGAUCAGGAGGCCAGCAUGCUCAGGUUCUGGUGAGAACUCUGUUUCCGGCUUCCCUUCCGUGUCCUCACAAGACAGAGGAAGCUCCCUCUUGCCUAUUCUUAAAAAGGGCACUAAUCCCUUGGGGCGCCUGGGGGCGCUCAGUCGGUUAAGCGUCCAACUUCUGCUCGGGUCAUGAGCUCACGGUUCUUGAGUUCAAGCUCCGCGUCCAGCUCUGUGCUGACAGCUCGGAGCCUGGAGCCGGCUUCGGAUUCUGUGUCUCCCCCUCUCUCUGCCCCUCCCCCUGCUCGCACUAUCUCUCUCCCUCAAAAUAAACGAACGUUAAAAAAUUUUUUUUUAGAAAGGGCACUAAUCCCAUCAUGAGGGCCCCACCCUCAGGACCUCAUCUAAACCUAAUUACUGAAUUAUCUACCAAAGGCUUCCUCUCCAAAUGCCAUCACAUUUCGGGGUAGGGCUUUAACAUGAAUUUGGGUGGGAUGCAAAUCAGUCCCUAACAGUAAGAAAGUAGAAAAACAUAGGAGGUGGAUGUAAUACUUCAUCUAAGAGAUGAUGAGGGUGUGAACUAGUGUGAAUAAUCUUCCUGGGAUAUUUCUUUUCCUAAACUUUAAAAUUAUAGAUAUCCCCUGGAACAACUCCAUUUGCACAUUGCUAUCAUUUUUUACUGUAGAAGAAUUUUCAAUGUCACACCAAAAAGAAAAGGAACUAAUAUUUUAAAAUUAACCACAGAAUUUAUUAAACCCAUGUAUUAUAGAAAUUAUAUGUAGUCUCUAGAUUUUAAAAAUUUUGGUAAUCUUAAAAGUGCCAACUCCUGCAGUUUCAAUGUUUUAAGGGAUAACAACAGAAAGCUAACCUCAAAAUACAAACCCAUUUAACUUUUUAUAUUUGACUUUUAUGUUAAGCAUGACAAUAUUAAAAUUUCUACAUUUAAAAAUGUCUAUUAUUUAUAGCAUAUAAAUUAUAAAGGUCCCAAAUAGCUGAAGGAAUUCUUUUAGGUCGGAAGACAAUGAUAAUGGCAUCAAGACUAACUAAUUCCUUCAGUAUUCCCAGUGCUUUCACACACUGAUGAUCAAGGCUCGCACAAUUUGAUCACUAGCUUAUUGCCAGCAACACGGCAACUCAGUCUCCUUAUUGGAGCACAAAGCACGUCCAAACGCAUUUUUAUAAAUAUUUGGCUUUGAUGCAGGGUGAUUAUGAUAAUGUGCCCCAGACACUGCUCAGGACCUUAAGAUGGACAAGCUGUCACUUGAUUCUAUCAGAUUAGUCACCAAGAACCGGUUUUAGAGAGAAUGUUCUGCUUUUCCUAUCAAUAGUGAUGUUAUAGAAUAAUUUUAUACUUGCCAUCAUGAAACACAAACAAGCUUUCGGCACUGGCUCCUCAAGAUGUUAAGAAGUGGUAUUACUAAUAUGCUAACAUUUUUUACACUGUUUUUUUUAACUCUUUUUCUGCUUCUGAAAGAAAUAGAGGCUCAUCGUGAAAAUAUUUGGAAAAUAUAACAUGCACAAAGAACAAAAUAUCAUCUCAAAUCUUACCACUCAGAGACAGCCCUGUCAUAAUAGUCUCAUGUAUUUCAGGCUUUAAAAAUUGGGAGUAUUCCGUAAUUUAACGCGUUUUUGUAACCCGCUUUUAAGAACUUAUGUAUCUGGAUGUCUUUCUAUGUAAAUACACGUCUACAUCAUCACCUCGGACAGCUGCGGAGUUUCUACAUCGUGUGUACUAUGAUUUGCUUGACCAAUAUUAAUUAUAAUGAUUACUUACAUUUAUUUAGUGCUUACUACAUGCUAGGCACCUAAGGGUUUGGUUUGUAUUCAUCCAUUCCAUCCUCACAACCCUAUGAUUGUUCCUGCUUCUCACAGAUGAGAAAAUAAAAUUGAAGCACCAGGAGGUGAUGUAAUUUAUAUUGGGCAUUUUAGUGGUGAACGACGCUUUGAUAUUAGAAGCCACGUUGCCACGAACACCGUUGUUCGUGUUCUUCAAGACUGUCUUUAGGAUAAAUUCCAAAAAGUAGAACUGCUGGGUCCAAAGGUGUUCCUACUUUUGUAACAUCCUUUCAAAUAGUUCCUUUAGGAAGACUAUAUUAAUUUAGCCUUCAGUCCCUGUCUGAAUGGGCGCAAGGUAUCCGGACGCUACUUGAAUUUGCGUUUUUCACUUUCAGAAGUGAGAUUUCAUUCGCCAUGGAUUUUUGUAAACCCGCCUUGCAUAGUGAUCCCGUCGCCGACAAGUUGGAAAUAUUUGUUUACACGCUACGUGUGUUAAGUGCUCUAACCCGAGGUACGAUUCACAUAAUUCCAAUUUAUGCGCAAGCUGCUCUGAAGUUGGUUCCAAGUGGGACACAAAACCCCCGGAAGCUGCUUAAAAUUUCUACGUGACAUAAACGCAAUUUGUUAAAGACUUAAAAAUAAAGUUACCAAGUCAACAUUCUGAGGUGCUAGGAAUCCCUCAUCAAUUUCUAGCUCCA
rnacentral:lncRNA from 1 species